AUUGAACGCUGGCGGCAUGCCUUACACAUGCAAGUCGAACGGUAACGGGCCUUCGGGUGCCGACGAGUGGCGAACGGGUGAGUAAUGUAUCGGAACGUACCUUUCAGUGGAGGAUAACGUAGCGAAAGUUACGCUAAUACCGCAUAUUCUGUGAGCAGGAAAGCAGGGGAUCGCAAGACCUUGCGCUGAUUGAGCGGCCGAUAUCAGAUUAGCUAGUUGGUGAGGUAAAAGCUCACCAAGGUGACGAUCUGUAGCGGGUCUGAGAGGAUGAUCCGCCACAAUGGAACUGAGACACGGUCCAGACUCCUACGGGAGGCAGCAGUGGGGAAUUUUGGACAAUGGGCGCAAGCCUGAUCCAGCCAUGCCGCGUGAGUGAAGAAGGCCUUCGGGUUGUAAAGCUCUUUCGGCCGGGAAGAAAUCGUAUGGGUUAAUACCCUGUGCGGAUGACGGUACCGGCAUAAGAAGCACCGGCUAACUACGUGCCAGCCGCCGCUGUAAAAC
rnacentral:rRNA from 1 species